AACAUCUGGGGGAAUCUUGUUAAAAUGCAGAUUAUAAUUCAGUAGGUCUGUGGUGAGCCCUAAGAUUUUGCAUUUCUAACAAGAUCCCAGGUGAUGCUGA
rnacentral:pre_miRNA from 1 species